GAUGAACGCUGGCGGCGUGCCUAAUACAUGCAAGUCGAGCGAACAGUCGAGGAGCUUGCUCCUCUGACGUUAGCGGCGGACGGGUGAGUAACACGUGGAUAACCUACCUAUAAGACUGGGAUAACUUCGGGAAACCGGAGCUAAUACCGGAUAAUAUAUUGAACCGCAUGGUUCAAUAGUGAAAUACGGUUUUGCUGUCACUUAUAGAUGGAUCCGCGCCGCAUUAGCUAGUUGGUAAGGUAACGGCUUACCAAGGCAACGAUGCGUAGCCGACCGGAGAGGGUGAUCGGCCACACUGGAACUGAGACACGGUACAGACUCCUACGGGAGGCAGCAGUAGGGAAUCUUCCGCAAUGGGCGAAAGCCUGACGGAGCAACGCCGCGUGAGUGAUGAAGGUCUUCGGAUCGUAAAGCUCUGUUAUUAGGGAAGAACAAAUGUGUAAGUAACUAUGCACGUCUUGACGGUACCUAAUCAGAAAGCCACGGCUAACUACGUG
rnacentral:rRNA from 1 species